UUAACUAGACAAAACAAAGCAAGAACAAAAGGAAAUGAAGAAGUGUUGUGCUAUCUUCAUAUGAUUUUUUUCACUUGAUAUAUUCUUUUAAUAAUCUAGUCCUUCAUUCUUCUGCAGGAUCUUGCGCCCGAGCGUGCUGUUGCUGAUUUUGUUCUUUGUAAUUUGGUGCUUCAUUUGGUGAUCAUGAACUUCCUUGGCUAAAUUGGUUUGGUGCAGUUUUGUUAUUUCCAAGAGAACCCUCGGUUGAUAAAGAUCAAUAGUAUUACAUGAGUUUUAUGAAACAGUAUUUAAAGACAGUCACUGAGAUUUAGCAAAUUAAUGUAGUUUCUGUUAGAUGCUAGAUAUUUUUCUCUUUUAACUAUGUUAUUAUUGAUGAAUUACAGUUUUUUCACAUGAAUAUCUAAUCCUCGUUACUACUCCAAAAACUAAGUUUAUGUUUGUGGGUGAAUUUGGUCGUAUCCUCAUACUACUCCAAAAACUAAGUUAUGUUUGUGGUGAAUUUGCAAAAUUACAGAAUGUUUUUUAAUAAAUUUUAGAGGGUAGCUUUUGUCAAAUAUUACUUGGCACACUAUAAUUUUGCCAAAUUCAUUACCAAUACAAAAAAUAUUUUUUAUUGAGUUGAAGUUUAAGGUAAAAUAAUUUAUCAUCGGACAUAUUCAUGGAAAAGAAUUGAACAUGUCUGUGUAAAAUUAUUUUUGGAUGCAAAAAUUACAAAUUGCUUUAGUUUUUCUUUUGACACAUACAAAUUACUUUAGUUAGAAUUAAUAUUAGAUUCAAAGUCAAUUCUAAUUGAAAAAUUCUAAAUAUAUCAAGAUCAAUGUUUCUAUAUUAAGACUUAUGAAUCCAAAUACGUACCAAGAUUUCUAAUUCGGAGUAUAUACUAAAACUGAUACAAUAACACCUUUUUAUUUUUGAUUCUUUUUGUAAUCACAAGUUUAUGUAGUGUUUUUAAAUGUGAAGUCAAAUCUUCUGAUAUGAUAUAAAUGCAUAGCAGAAAAAGUUGUCGGCUGUGGCAUUCGCUGUGAUGAAUAUGAAUUCAAUUUUUUUAAAAACAAAAAAGAAACAGUUUUUAAAAAAUCCAUAUUUGAAUUCAAUUUUUAAAUUCAAUUUUAUUAUAAAAAUAAAAAAGAAACAGUUUUUUUAAAUAUAUAAAAAAACCAGUUUGGAAUUUGGUGAAAAAAUUAAUCCAAUUUUUUAAAAAAUUGGUUUUAAACUGGUUUAAAAUUAUGAACCGGUUCUGAAUUGGUUUUAAACCGAAUUGAAUUGAUUAAACAGAUUAAUCACUUUUUCUAAAGUGGUUUUUAAAAAUUGCAUUGAACCAUUAAGGUUCGGUUCAAUUCAAUUUAUGAACCACGAACACCCCUACUUGUCAUAAUUGAUAAGUUGAUCCAAAGAAUUUUAGUACUUCUCAUGUUGUGAAGUUCCUUGACUUCAUCUUCAAUUGUCCUAAAAAUAAAUAAAAGGUUGUCGUCAGCAAAGAAAAGAUGAGAGAUGCUCGGGGCAUUUUUGGCUAUGACCAAACCUUUAAUAGUACCCCUGUUUUAAUUGUUAAUGAAUAAACUAGAGAGAAUUUCAACAUAUUAGACAAUGAGAUCCCCUAUCUCCUUAUCCAUUUAAAAAUUGUUAAUAAUUUUUUAAAAGGACUCAACUUUUACACAUAAAAUUAAAUCAAUAAUAUAUUUUUUUAAUUGAUAUUUUUAAAUGAUUUAAUAAAGAGAUUUAAUUAGAUUUUCUCUUAAAUAUAAUUUAAUGUGAUAUUCAAAAUGGUUUAUUAAAGAGAUUUAAUUAAAUCUUUUCUUAAACACAAGGAUUUAUUUCAAAGUUAUUAGACUAGAAAACCCUAUAAUUAAGCGACGCUUUGUGUUUUCUUUAUAUACUUCUUCUAUCUUAGUCUUUACUAGUUCACCCUAUUCACCGCUUAAAAAAAUGUAUUUCUUAAAAUAAUAUAUAUUUUAAAAAAUAAACUCAAAAACGAACCAAAUCUUAACAAUAUAUUUUGACAAUUUUAAUUAAAUCUAAUUUAUUUGAAUAUGUAUUGAAAUUUGAGCCUUAAAUAUAGGACUUGUGUUUACCCAGUCUUUUUAAAUUAUAUCGUCAUACAUAUAUACUUAACAUGUAUAUUUAACCUUAAUACUUUUAAGCUAGAAAGUAGAAAACCCUAAUACUUAAGAGAUUCUUUGUGGUUUCUUUAUAUGCUUCUAUCUCACUCUUUCAUAUCUCUCACUCUCCACCGUUUACGCACAACAGUUUCUUAUUUCUCCAAACUCCGAAACCCUGCUAUUGCGUCGUCAUCAUGACGAAAUCUUCUUCAUCUCCUUCAUCUCAUAAACUCAGAAACAACAACAAGGAUAAACAGCAAUGGUCUUUUGAAUAUGAUGAGAAACGACGGCAUGUUUACAAAUGUGAGUUUUGUGACAAAGUAUUCACCACAGGCCAAGCACUCGGCGGUCACAAGACUUGUCAUCGCUCCAACAAACAACAGAUACAUGGUGAUAAGGCUCACAAAACUAUCAAGAUCACUUUCUCUUUAUCUUGUUCUCCAAGUUAUCAUAAUAAUAAUGAUGCCAAACAGAAAAGACAUUCAUGGACUAGGGUUUUCAAGAGUACCGUUCAUCAUCCACCUGCUGCAUUGGAACCUUGUCAACAAGAAGAGUUACCAGCUGUUGACUUGUUAAGUUUGUUGCCACCAAGAUCAUAUAAUACCAAGAAAAGGAGCCGGAGAUAUCUUAUUCAUCAUGGACUUGCUAAUAAUCCUACUGCUCCAAUACCCUUGUUGGAUACGUCUCGCGAAUCGGUUGCAAAUCUUGAUGCAAAUUAUCGUGAGUGUAAAAGAAUGAAACUCUCAAACAAUGUGAAUGAUACUGAGAUGAUGCAGAAACAACAUGUGCUGCCAUCAAAUGAUCGUAUUGAUGAAACAGUAGUGAGUGAAGGUGAAACAGAGAUAGAAUCACAUCGUGAAUUGGGGCAAAGAGUUGUUCGUGACUUCGAUUUGAACGAGCUCCCGACUAAUGAUGUUGAAACAGAAUGACUGGAUAUUCAGUUUGUUAUUUUCAGAUGUUUAGGUUGAAAAAAGAGAAUGAGUUAUAUUCUACCGUCAUGUAACUUGAUGACAAGAUAUAUGUAUGUUUUAGAUUUAUUUUAGCCUUAUUAUUUUAAAUUUUCAUCUUUUGCUUUUGGUUUAAUCUUGAAAUUUUGUUUGUGGGAAACUAUAAACAGGUUAUUUGCACUAAAAAUAGGAUGGUGUUGAGAGUAUGAAAAUUGGUGAAAGAAUGUCCAGUGGUGAUUUUGUUGUGAAGAAGAAAGAGUGUCUUUUUUUAUGUUAUUACUUGAGAGUUAAGUUACCUAUCCUAUUUAAUUAUUAUGCACUUGAAUGAAUGUAUAUGAUUUGAUGUUAUAAUAACUAACUAGUUUUGUUUGGAAAUUUCAGUCUAAAAUAUGCUCCUCUUGCUACUUGUGAUUUAAAUUCAAUUCCAACCUUGUUGCUACCUUGUGCUAUUUUGCAUUGUUUGAUUAUUGAAAGAGAUUUAAGUCUAGUUGGUGGAAAGUGGUUUUUGAAGAGUUAUAACAUCAACUUUAUAUUAUCUUUAUUAAAUUAUUUAUACUUUUGAAUGAGUUAUACUUCUAAUACAGUUUAAUUAGUUAUAACAUCAACUUUAUAUUAUCUUUAUUAAAUUAUUAAAUUAUGUAAACAUUUAAAGUAUAAGUUUAAAUAAUCAACUCACCAAUCACCAUUCACUCAUGAUAAAGCCAAAACAAAGUUAGCAUUCUCUCAAAUAGUUUUUUAAGUCCCUUUACUCAUGUCAUGUGAUUUUUUCUCUAUCUCUUGUUGUCUUCCAUUGAAUAAAAAGGAGUAAUCUGUGCACAAGAUUAUGAUAUUCUUUUGAGCACAUUAAAUGAAAGAGAUGGUUGAAAUCAACUAUAUACCUUCCUUUUUUUGCUUGAUUGAAUAGAAUAUAUAGCUUGAGUGAUGUAAAAAAUGAUUGAUUCUUUUAUAACUGGUUGUUUUUAGGUUCAAGAUGUGAAAAUCAUCCAAAUUUGCAGAUAGUGAGCAAGGUGCUGAAAAUGUGACUCGCCUUGCUUUUCAUUAGAUUUACUUUGAUCUAUAAUGGUUAACUCCAGUAUUGUCAACCACAGGUUACAAAAAUAGAUUCAUUCAAAUUUUGCUAUGCUAACAAUACUUUAUGUAAAUAGCAUUUUAUCAGAAUAUCAAUUGCUUCAAGUUCUGUUACUAGAAUGUGAUAUAGUGCCAAAUUGCCACAAUUUGACAACAUUUCACCUUUAUUUUACAGUGACAUAGGUUAUUGGUUACUACAUGACACGGAGGCGAAAGUGUUUGAGUUGGAGGCUCAAGAGAGAGUCGUACAAAAAGGCACAAUUUUUAAAAUUAGUCAGAUAUGACUAUAAGGCACCUUGAUUUGAAUCACAACUAUGGUUUAAUUGAAUCAUGCAUGAACCUAUCUUUUGGAAUUUAUUUUUGGUUUUGUUAUUUGAAUCUGGUUAUUGCUAGAAUUGAAUCACAUGAUUCAAAUCACGAUCCUAAUCAUACAUGCCAAAUCUAUAUUUUAUCAUCUUUAUCUAAAUCAUAAUUGUAGGAUCUGAGUCAAAUCAUAAUUGUAGCAUCUUACUCAAAUCAAAUUUCUUUUUUUCACCUAUUUUUUACGGUAUCUCUAACCCAUAUAUAAACCAUAGUUGUAAAUCAUCUUGAAUCAUGCAAAGGCGGCCGACACAUGGAAUACGUGCAAUAGUUUCUUAUUGAAGAAGAAAAGAUGAUUGGUCAAAGUGACAGAGCAGGGUAGGCGUGAUAGGUGCAAGGACGGUGUUGCCUGAAGGAGAAUUGCGACCCAAAGCGCAGCGGAAAUUAAAAUUUUCUCCUUUAGAGAUCCUUACGAAUGGUCAUGAUCAGUGAUAGAAUAUUUACCUCUUAUGACGGUUGAAACCUUUGGUGAAGAUUCUUCUGACGGUCAAAACCUAUUGAUGCAGAAUCUCUUGUGACGAUCAAAUCCCUUGGCAUCAGCAUCACUAAACGAUCAACGAAAAAAACCCCCGUUUGAAACGAUGGAAAAAACAACAAAAAAGACGUCUUCUAAAAACCUUCAAUCCAACGAACGUUUUCCUUCAAUCUCAGGCUAGCCGCGUACGAAUGAAAGGCUUGAGUAAGAGAAGAGAGAAGAGUGAAACGAAAAGAAUGCAACCGCAAAUUUUUUGCUUCUGCACAAGGGUUCUAUUAUAGAACCACUUGUGUGGCUUCAAGCUAAAAAGCCCACUUAAGUGUAUUUUGGCCCAUAUCUUAUAAUAUGCCAAAAUCACUUAAGCCCAUGGUAUAUUACCAAUAUUCGUAUUCUACUCAAGUACCCCCGUACCUUACGAUGUUCUCCAUAACUCACUUAAGGGACACCGUACCUUACGGUAUUCCUAGUUACUCUAUCUCUCAUUAAUCGUCCUUUGUGUGUGACCCUGUAGGUUUCGUGACGUUGGCAAUUAUAUUAAAUCACGUAUUUAACAUAAUAAACAUGAGAGGUAUCUAGCAACACAUCACUGCUACCAAGACACGAAAAUGUCAGGUGAUCUGACAAAACCAUCUGUGAUAAUAAUUUGUGUAUAAUUACCCUUUGCCCUUAUGUCAUAUUGAACACAAGGCAUAGACCGUGUCAUCCUUGUCCAGUUCAAUAUUGGGCCCAUUAGACAUUUAUCCGUUAUGCAGGAUGGGCAAAUUCCAUCUAGGUCACUCAUGUCCCUCAGCAUGCUUCGUGGAGUACCCAUCAACUGUCUUUUGGUUAUCAAGUUACGGACAACGUUGGAUCAGCAUAAAGCACUCGACUCCACACCUAGGAUCCAUAGUGGUUUCAAGGUCGAAGAGUGGAAUACACUAUUAUCACCAUGAGAAUAACUUAUGACACUUUGCAUAACGUUCUAUAUAGUAUUCUCAUAGCGGGUCAAUCCGGUAUAAAUAUUACUCCUAUUCAUCACUAUGUUUAAGACUUGAUAACUCUUAUCCAUGAUCCAUGAGAUGUGAUCAUCAGUCUACAAACAUAAUAGUCUUAAUGCUUUUAAUGUUAUCCCACUUCACACUAAAGCUCGACUACGGAUACUUUAGGAAUAUUGUCCUUAUGUUUAAUGUGUUUCUCAUGAUUAAGUCACACUAUUAUACAUUAAACGGACUAUCUAUUCAGGGACUUUAUUAAUCAACCAUAAUAAAGAGAAUGCCUUUUAUUAUUCGAUACAAGUACCAAAAUGUAUUGGCCUCUAGGGCUUACACCAACAAUCUCCCACUAGCACUAGAGGCAAUCAGGCAUACCCCGUAUGCCCAUUGAUCUAAGUAAUGGCCAUUCAUAGCUUCUGCUGCGCAAGAGGCUUUUCAGUGGGUCAACUAUAUUGUCAAGUGUAGUACUUUCAUAUUUCACAACAACGCCUAAGUAUGUGUUUGGAUCGUCGUGAGAUCUAGGCUCCUUAGCUUUGUGCGAUAGACACAUUGUUAUCAUAAUAGAGACCAAUGGACCCACAAUGCUAGGGACUAUGCCAAGUAACAAUGAACUCUUUGAUCCAAAACAACUCCUAUUUGCAUUUGAGGCAGCAAUUACUCGUCGGCUCGGUUGUAGAAUCAACAACUGUAUCUUGCUUUGUGGCUUUUCAAGCUCACUAGCGCCACAUUUCAGCAAAAUUACAUAACCAUUGGAAUCAUUCAUAUUAAAGCGUCUCAGCACCUUGUUCUAUGUACUCUGACUUAGGUCAAGCAUUUUAUGAUCUAGUCUCUAUAGAUUCUGAUUCCUAAUAUAUAGGCUGCUUCACCUAGGUCCUUCAUAGAUAAGCAUUCUCCCCCACCCAAGAUUUGCCUGUUGCAGGGUAGGGAUAUCGUUUCAAUAAGUAAUAUGUCAUCUACAUAUAAUACCAGGAAUACGCAUCAUCGCUCCAUCUAACCUUCUUGUAGACACAAGGCUCAUCUUCGUUCUUAACAAACUCCAUAACAUUUCACUGUUCAUCAAAACGAAGAUUAUCCAUGAGUAAAGGUCACAGGCUCAUCUUGAUCCCUGAGUAAUACAUCACCUAGAUCAGAUAUCCAUAUACUCUAAGGUAUGUGACGUAUCCUGCCUGAACCUACGCUGGUCUUGUUCUACUUGAGCAGGUGCUCUCACACAACCACUUGUGUUUCCUGCUCUAAUUCCUCCUAGGUGUAUCGAUAAUUUGUGAUUCUUGAAUUUCUUCAGCUACUUACUUUCCUCCCACUCGGUUCCUUUGGAAAUAAAAAACAUUUUCUAGAAAACUCCAGUUCGAGCGACAAACACUUUGCCCUCAGAAGGAUUGUAGAAGUAAUACCUUUUUGUUUCUUUAGGAUACCUCCCACAAAUAGCAUUUGUUAGAUUUGGGCUCAAGCUUAGUUGAAAUUUGUCGUUUCACAUAAACCUCGCAACCCCAAAUCUUUAUGUAAGACAUAUUGGUCUCUUACCACAUCCAUAUCUCAUAUGGUGUCUUAUUAACCUUUUUGGAUGGAACAUGGUUAAUGUGUAAGCUGUUGUCCAAUUAGUGCAUGUCCGCAAUGGAGUGGAAGAUCAACGUGGACUCAUCAUGGAUUACCUCAUUAGGUUUCAUCCUUUUAGUAUUAAUGUAUAAAGUUGGCAUUAUGAGAUCAAGGACAUAUAGUCCAUUGCUCACUUGUGGCAGUAGCAUAGAAUAUAUCAUUCAAAUAAAUGUGAGCAACAAUUUGUUCUUUAUUAUAAAUGAAAACCAAAACUUGUCCAAACAAGAAAUGGAAAUAAUAUCCUGCUAAUUGCAGAUACAUAAUAACAGUUCUCUAACUGAAUUAAUAAAACCACUAGGUAAAGUUAAUAAGAUCCUACGGCUAAAGUAGCAACUUUUGCUCCAUUGCCAACUCGUACAGGUCAACUUCACCUUUUGCCAAAUUCUCUACUCCCUUUCAGCCCCUGCACAUUUGUACAAGUGUGAGAACCGCAUCCAGUAUCUAAUCCUCAUGAUGCAUAAGUAGAUGAAUAUGAAUUAACAAUAAUACCUGAAGUUUGAAGUCUCUACUCCAUUCUUCUUAUCUUCCAGGACUUUGGGCAGUUUCUCUUCCAGUUGUCCGGUCUUACCGCAAUGGAAGCAGGUGCCUUCUUUGCUAUGCCUCCACUAGGCUUCAAAAGCAGCAGUGGGUCUGGGAUUUGCAACAUUCCUUGCCCUUCCCCUAAUCACUCUGCUUAGUGGGCCUUUUUGUUCUGCCUCUUUCCAUUUCCGAUCAUCAGAAUGACUUCCCUUUUGAUUCAGAUUCUGCUCAGCAGUUCUUAACAUGGCUAGCAGUUCAGGAAGAGAUUUGUCCAUAUCAUUCAUAUUGAAAUUUAGGACAAAUUGACUGAAACUAUCUGGCAACGAUUGCAAGAUCAAAUCAGUCGCAAGUCUUCUUCGAGGGGAAAGCCCAAUCUCUCAAGGUUUUCCACACAUACCCAAUCAUUUGAGUACAUGGGGACCUACAGGGGGCUCCCUCCUGCUAACUUGCUUUGGAAAAGGGCUUUUGAAACUUCAAACCUCUCAUGCCUUCUUGCUCUUGAUAGAGCAACUUCAGGUGUCGAUCAUAUCGACUGCUGACAUUGUUCUCAUGUUGCUUUGCAAUCUGAGUUCAUGGUAGCCAGCAUGAGACCAAGCAGUUUCAUUGGCAUCAUCGACAUGCUUCUUAUAAGCAUCUCUUUCUGCCUUAGGUGCAGAACUAGAGGUUAUCCUCUUCAGAACAGGUGUCUCCAAGACAUACAGCUUUUUUAUCAUAAUGUUUGAGGACAAUCCUCAGUUUCGGUGCCAAUCCAGAAAAUUUGUCCUAGACAAUUUUUCCUUGUCAAGGAUGAUCGCAAGAUGUUGUUAGAGGUGUUUGCUGUCUUGGUUCAUCUACAUAAGGAUUAAAGAAAAUAUUAGUAUCAUAUGACAUAUUUAAUUAGGCCUUUAAUCAAAUAUGCUCCCACUAUUUUACUCAAAAACAAAUGACCCUCAUCAUUUGAUUCGGAAAAUCCCGUUGGAAGAUUUCUAGUGGGUCGAGAUCCCUAUUCACUUCGUUCUAAGUCCGCGUAGGCGGUAUUACACAAACUAGGUUAUUUAGGUAGGAACUCCUUCCAAUUGUAUCUCAUACAACUCUCGAAAUUUCAGUUGGUGAUAACUCCUUAUAUUCCAAUCCAUUUCAUAUAGUUGAGAUCAUUCCCAACUCUUGUUCUUUCUAACAUAUAUCAUAAUGAAAAUAUAUAAUACUAAAUUUGUUUAUAAGUUUGACCAUUGUUUUAGCAGUUGGAUAUUACAAUUAUCCCAUCGCACCUACCAAUAUAGAACAUGCACCUCGCUUGGCGAAACCACUACAUUAGUCUUGAGCUGAGUCUAUUGGUAGGAAUAUGCUUGAAUACUUGGGUAAAGUAGCUUAAAUAUUAGGAAAUUGCAAUCAUGUUUAUGAUUUCUCAUUUGUUUAUCAUUUAAUGUCUUAGCAGUUGUAUUACAAUUACUUAUCGCACACCAUACCAUUAAAAUAACACAUUUGCACCUCGCUUUUUGGCAAGUACAUUCCAUUAUACAUAUCUUAACAGUGCAUUAACAAACAAGAGAGGCUAUUAUAUGGCAACAGAGACAGUAGAUAUAUUGUUUAGUGUCAUAUGAUCUAGCAAACUCAAGAAGUCCUUUACAAGACUUCUUACAUCUGACCAACAUUACAUUCACAUUUCCACGCUAACAUACAUACUAAACUGAAUGAACAGUUAUGGCCCUAGCCGCAUUUUUGUUCUCCCCAAGCCAUGAGAGAACUAAGCUAACCUAAUAACGAUCUAAGCUUCUCCAAGCAAGAUCUUCAAGGUUGUCAUCCUUUAAUAUUGAAUUCUUCUCUAAGCUUCUCCAAGCAAGACCUUCAGGUUGUCCUCCUUUGAUCUUGAAUUCUUCUCUUUCUUUCAUAUCAUUAUUCUCCUUUGAUAUUGAAUCUCUUCUCUUCUUCAUAUCAUUACAUACAGAAGAAACUCGUUUUCAUACGAGGGAUUUAGAUGAGAAAAGAAGUUACAUUUAAGAGAUCAAAAGGAGCAGGCACGACACGGCAGGUCGUAUUUAAAAACCCAAAUAAAAUAAAGAAAGACUAAGGCCAUAACUGAUCACAACAAGGCAACAAUAAUAAACACAUUAUUAUUAUUAUUAAUCUUAAUUCCUUUAAUUAAUUAAAACCAAAUUAAAAUUUCGGCGACCGGAUUCACACUUACGGCAGCGAGUUAGCCGGGGUGUUCCGCCAUGCCCGGUCAGGCGGACGUGGUUCCGCUGACCCGAUCACCGGACUCCUUUUAGUAUCAGCGGACUGUAGGUUCCGCUGCCCAGGUCAGCGGACGUGUGUUCGUGUGACGAACCGAUCACACUACCGCAAAAUUUUAAUGAACAAAUUCAUUUGAAAUGUGACAUUGUUUUUGCCUCACACAACUCUUGCGGGUCUAGGCAUUCAAGUAAAUGCACAUCGAAAACCCUAAAAAACAAAUAUUUGACUCUGGGAAGUUGUGACCCGACCGUCACCUGGAGAGCGUCAUAGGCCAUGAGAGUCGUACGGCGUCAUCAUGUGGGGACGGUUCACAGGCCACGUUCGACCGUCACUGGUCAAAAAGACAGAAGCCUUAAAUUAAUUCUCGUGAGUUGUGCACGACCGUUUCAUCGUGGGUUGUUGUUUACGAAUCGUUCCACACAUCCAGUUUGGUUAUAUCGCUUGUUUACGCUCGUCAUACACGAGCCCUCACGCCAUAGGCCAAAGUAACAAACUUUUGAAACAGUUCAACCAGGUCGCCCGUCGACACGCAGCUUCAGGCAGCCAAAUAUAAUAGGAUUUUGAUAGCAGUCUACGGACCUCUUCCAAAAAGCCCUAAUUAUUCACAAAAUCCUUGACCGGCAUCACAACCCUUGCCGCGCGUCAUCCAUAAUCCCUAAUUGCGCCAAUUUUAGACCUCAAAACACACCUCGAUUGUUGAUUUCAGUAUGAUUUGAUUCAACUAGGUCAUUGCUUCACACUACUAAUGUGCGGAUUCCGAACUAAAAUGACACUUGAUUGCUCAUAGGAAAAAAGACAUUAGUGUUGCGAUUGAACGAUAAGCAAGAUAAACAGCUAUUCACAUAUACGAUAUCUAUUUGUCUCUUUGAGGAUUACUUAUAUUCAUAUAUAAGUUUAUAGUGUCGAGUCUCAAUUGCGUAAACCUACGGGACGGAUCGAUGUCUUAUCGCUGCUUCACCAUACUCAGGAAUGAUGUAUCGUUUAAUUCUUAAUAAUUGCGCGAAGCAUAGUCAACAUCAUCAUCAAUCCAACUUAUUCACUCAUUGAUGCCACCACAAAUUUUAAUUACUUUCUUAAAUAAUUUGACUUCAUAUUCUGUCUUUUUUAAUCUAUACUUAAUACAGAAAAUAAACAGCUAUCCGAGUCAUGGUUUCGUAGUGGCUACCCACAGGUCCCUGGUCGGAACAGGCUCUGAUACCACUUGAAGGAGAAUUGGCGACCCAAAAGACGCACGGAAAUUAAAAUUUUCUCCUUUAAGAGAUCCUUACGAUGGCAUGAUCAGUGAUAGAAUAUUUACCUCUUAUGACGGUUGAACUUUGGUGAAGAUCUCUUCUGACGGUCAAAACCCUUGAUGUCAGAUUCUCUUGUGACGAUCAAACCCUUUGAUGCCAAUCCACUAAACGAUCACAAACGUUGAACGAUGACAAUGUCUCUACUCAGGUCCACAUCGAACGGUUUCUCCUCUCAAUCUCAGUGCUUAGCUGGUACGAAUGAAGGCUUUGAGUAAGAGUAGUAGAGAGAGAGUGAAAACGAAAAGACAUCAACCGCAAAUUUUUGCUUCUGCACAAGGGUUCUAUUUAUAGAACCACUUGUGUGGCUUCAAGCUAAAAGCCCACUAUAAGUGUAUUUGGCCACAUAUUCUUAUAAUAUGCCCAAUAAAUCACUUAAUGUCCCAUGGUAUCUUACCAUCAUUAUGUAUUCUAUCUCAAGAUACACCGUACCGUCACGAUGUUCCAUAAUUCUCACUUACGCGGCACCUACCUACGGUAUUCCUAGUUACUACUAUCUCUCAUUUAAUCCGUUCUUCAUUUGUGUUGUGACCUGUUAGUUUUGCGUGACUUGGUCAAUUAUAUCUAAAUCACGUAUUUAACAUUAAUCAAACAGAGAGUAGGUAUUCUUAGCAACACAUCACUGCUACCAACGAUCACGAAAAUGUCAUUGUGAUCUGACAAAACCAUCUGUGAUUAAUAAUUAUGUGUAUAAUUACCCUUUUGCCGUAUAUGCUAUAUUGAAUCACAAGGCAUAAGACAAUCGUGUCAUCCUUUUGCCAGUUCUACACUAUUAUUUUGGGACCCAUAGACAUUAUAUCCUGUUAUGGCUAGGAUGGCAAAGUUCCAUCCUCUAGGUCACUCAUGUCCCUCAGCAUGCUGUCGUGGAGAUACCCAUCACACUGUUCUACUUUAUGGUUAUCAAGUUACGGCAACGUUGGUAUCAGCAAUAAGUGCACUCGACUCCACACCUAGGAUCCCAUAGUGGUUUCAGGUCUGAAAGAUGGCAAAACACUAUUAAUCACACAUGAGAAUAACUUAUAGACACUUGCACUAACAGUUCUAUAUAGUAUUCUCAUAGCGGGGUACAAAUCGCGGUAUUAAUUAUCUUAUCUCCUAUAUUCAUACCUAUGUUUAAGAGCUUGAUAACUCUUUUAUCCAUGAAUCCAUGAGACUGUGAAUCAUCGUCUACAAACAAUAAUAGUGCUUAAUGCUUUAAUGUUCAUAUCCACUUCACAUCUACAAGGCUUCGACUACGGAUAACUUUAGGAACUAUUGUUCCUGUAUGUUUAAGAUGUUUCUCAUGAUUAAGUACACACUUAAAAUACAUUAAACGGAACUAAUCUUUCCAGGGGACUUUUAUAAUCAACCAUAAAUAACAGAGAAUGCCAUUUACAUUCGAUACAGAGUAUCCAAAAUUGUAUUGGGGCCUCUAGGGCUUACACCAACAUUGCCCGCGAGAGCCUUAUAUUUUUGUCUAUAAAUAGAAGUUUUCUCUUUAGUGAAAGUGGAGUUUCGAUGGGUCUGAGGAGUAUAGAAUUGAAGUAGGUUCAUUCAGGUCUACGACAGGAGAAUAAGAAAGAUAGUUUGAAGGUGGAAGUGUUUCUCAGGUGACAAAGAAGAUACCACUUCCAAGGUCAACUUGAUCCGAAAACAUCAACUGUUAUGCUAACCAUGAGUAAAUGUAUCUAAAACUGUAAAAGUUGUCCUGAUUUGUGUCUGGAUGAUCGCAAUAUUGUAAAGAUAUUAGGGUAAUUCUAAAAUUACUAAAGCAUUGCACACACCUGUCGAAAAGUGUUUUAACCUCUCUAAAUUUGCUAAAACACCUUAAAACCUUUAAAGGAACUAUCAAGGUGCUUGUGGAAUUGAUCAAGGAGGUUUUUUUAUAAACGUUUAAGAAGCUUGCAUACACUGCUUAAUCGAUUAAUAAUACUCCUAAUCGAUUAAGAAACUAGCCAUUGUAGGUUUUUUUAGGAAUUAGGGCUUCCAAUCUUUGAAGGUCAUAAUCAGUUAACCCUAUGGCAUAAUUUAUUAUGGCAUUUAAAGGCUCGUGGAUAUUUUUCACCUAUAAAUAGAGGACUUCUCCUCACUUUUAAAAUACACAUGAAAACAUAUUUAUAUACACUUCAUCACUUUCUACACUCUCCUUUCUCAUUUAUUUAUUUUCCUUUAAACUGACUUAGUGCUUUGAGAUUGAAAAAUAUCAGUAAUGUAUUAUUUGUUUGUUUUGGUGUUUGGGGUAUUAAUGUAAUUUACACAAGGGAAGAUGUCUCCUGGGUAAUAUAUCUUGUACGAAGUUGUAGUUUGGUUUGUAACCAAUUCCAAUAAAAAUGUCUUAUGUAAUUCGUGAGAUUGUCCCUUAUAAUAUUCAAUUGGUUCGUCAGCAUAACCCGGUGUAAAAGCUCUCAAUUGGUUCAUGAGAUUGUCUGUCAAAUUCUAUAUUUGGUUUGUGACUUAGUUUGGUGUAAAAGCUCUUUCUUGGUUUUGAGAUUAACCUGAUAUAAAAACUUGUGUUUGAUUUGGAGGAUAGUCAUACUAUUAUGUAAAAGUCAUUUCACAAGGGUUGGAAAAUGGAUAACACCACGUCUGAUCAACCGUUGUGAGGUUAGGGGUGUUUGUGGUAGGAUGCUUUCCACCAAGGUCGUGCGACCGUGAUUAUAAGCUAUGUAAUAUGAUAUCAAUCACAAUGGUUACUUAAAACAACCGUUGUAUUCCUUAAUGCAUAACAUUUGACAAUCACUACGCCAAACAAGACCUUAGACAGCGCUUUUUUUAGCCUUAGACAGCGCUUUAAAGCGCUGUCUAAGCCUCCGCUGCUAAAGGUUUAGACAGCGCUUGUUUAAAUCUUAAAAGGCACGCUGUCUAAGCCCCCCUCCUUAGACAGCAGCUUUGGCCAAAAAGCGCUUUCUAAAACCCUCCUAUUUAAUUUUUUUUUAGGUAUACCUUCGACGCGCUUUUUGGCAAUAAGCGCUGUACUUAAAAGGGGGGGGCUUAGACAGCGCUUUACAAAAAGCGGUGUCUAAGCCCGCCUAUUUUAAUUUUUUUUAGGUAUAACUGAGCAGCGCUUUAGGCAAAAGCGCUGUCUAAAGGGGGGGGCUUAGAACAGCGCUUUUCAGAAAGCAGCUGUCUAAGCCCACCCCCCCCCCCCUUAGACAGCGCUUUUUCUUGCCUGAAGCUUUCUAAUUCCCACCCCUUAGACAGCGCUUUUUAACAACAACAGCGCGCUGUCUAAUGUUACAAAAUUUUGAAGCUUUUUGUUUAAACGCACAUUUUUUUCCAGGUUUAUAAACCAGAUUUCUACCUUUUUCAACGCAGAUUUUGGCAGACAGUUAUCAACAUUUUAUACUGCCAUUUUGCCUUUUUCUUAUAAUUUUUGGCUAGACAAAAUAUAUAUAUAUACCAAUUCAAACACAUUGUUAAUUUGCCUUAAAUGUAUCAAAAUAUAUACAAAUUUAUGUACACAUUUACAAGUCAUCUACAUAUACUGCAAUGUACACAUUAAUUACAUCAAAUUUAUGAAAAAACUUUGAGCUCUAUCAUGAAUUGACACCAACUCUCUUUGAUUUCGUCCACUUGAUCUUUGUAUAAAAAUGACACUUGAAUUCCCUCAAAGUACUACAUAAUAAUAUAACAUAUUUUGAAAUUAAAUUCCAAACUAUUUAAUUAAUAGUGAAGCUAUGUGUAAAUAUAAAAAUAACUCAUAAGUUAGAAAUAACAUACAUCGUGGAAUCACUAAUCGGGCCAAAAGCAAGGAAGUAUCCCGCAUAAAACCUUCAACUAUCGAAAUAACCCGAAUCUAUUUUGAUUACGUUGUUGAGGGACACUACCACAUGAAAAAAAAAUAUGGCUUAUAAAUCCUAAGUUUUAUCAGUGUCAUCAACUAAUAUAAUAACAAAUGGUGGUAAUUAAAAAUAUACCGCCAACUUUAAUCAUUAAUGCGGUUGGCGCCCUCUUGAGGUUUGGAUAUCUCGUUGGGCCCGAGCUUGUAGGAUGCCUAUAAAAAAUAAAAGAUGAAGCAUUAGAACAAUUCCACAAUAAAACUAUAGAAAAAUUUUGAAACAUUCCUUCACUACGUUGUCAAUUAGGAACUUCAUAUCCGGGUAUGUUGCCAAUCAUUUCCUAACGCGUCCAAGAUAAUUACACAAUUUCUCGGAUAGGAUUGAUUGGCGAGCAAACCAAAUGUCACUGUAUAUGAUUAGGCAAAUGUUAGAUGGUAACUUUGGAAAAUAAUUCAUAAUAGAUGAAAUUUAGAAUGAAAUGUAACCCGGUAUUAACGGUAUAAAAAACAACUUCUCCGCAUCUUUAUUGUUUCAUUGAGGAUCCGAUGAGAACGUAACUCGUCACGGUAUUCCGGUCUAUUUAAAAUUAAACUCUAAAGUUGAUAGCCUCGCGGGUGCUAAGAAUCCGAAUGACUCCGUCCAAAUCAUUGGGCUGCAAUCAUUUUUGUCAUACAAAAAACCUAAUAUAAAACAUCAUUAACACCUCUUUUGAAACAUAAAGUAAACCGGGGAUUAACAUAAAGUAACAUCAUUAACAUAAGUUGUUUAAUUAAAAGACAAAGUGGACCGGAUUUACGCUAAUAUAAUGUAUUGACACCGUUGACGAGCCGAUUUCUUCAUGACCAAAAACUUGGCAUGAAGUCUUCCUUACCAACAUUUGGUCGUGAUCAAGCCGAAAAUGCCUUCCUCCUAUAGUAUAGGUUCCAACCAACCUCCGGUCGGUAUAUCGGUCAUCUCUAUAAAUGUCCGCUGAGGCCGACCUAUACUUGGGUGGUAGGUUUUUUCCUAGCUAAACGGUCUCUUUAGCACCAGAAUUUUUACCAGUGCGGAGAGCGUUCCUAACCUCCUUUAUUUGUUGUGCCGGAGGCCAUUGCUAACCUCAGUUUUCUUGAACCUACAUGUCAUAUAAAUAGUUAGAUCAAAUAAGAAUGUAACAACUUCCAUGAAUAUAUGUCCAUAUAUUGUAAUAUUACCUUUUUCUUGAUUUGGGAUUUUGUGGGAGUCUAUUUAACAUAAUCAAGGAAAGAUAUGUAAGUAACAAUUUUAAGCAUAAAUUUUUCAAACUUUGAAUAUACACAUUAAAGUUAACAUAAUUUUAAGCAUACCCUCAUAUCCUACGCAUCUGAGGUUUGUCGGCGCAUUGCACAAAACGAGGAACCUACUGCUUCGUGCACCGUUGUUCUCCGCAUCAUCGCUAGGAUAUGGUAAUAAUGCAUCGGGUCACUGCAAAUAUCAACUGAUACCUUCAAACAUCCAGCAGGGAGCUCUCUAGUGGGUGGAGUAAUACUCCGCUAACGUUAUGCACUUUUUCCUUGCCAACUCAUCCGAAGUAGUGUGGUGAACGACAAAAUACAGUGACAAUGGAAAUGCCUAAAACCAAUAAUACAAGAAAUCUGUUAAUGUGUAAUUGUCAAAUACAUAAGUUUAAGCAAUAGUUCGAAUUUAAGACAAUUGAUAUUAAUUACCUCUGGAAUGUUCGGUUUUGAAAGGUACACGUUUGAUACUGUUUUUUGUCCGAAACCUGUAAUACCGUUGAGGCGUAGCCUCUCUUUCCUCUCCUCAAUGCAUCAAGCCAGCUUUGCAUGGCUUCAAUCUUGCAUGAAGCUCCCGAUUAACUAGGAGCCUUUCCUUUUUAACACUGAGGGAGGUCGAGUGACUCCAAAUCCCUUACCGCCUCACGCCGACGCAGAAUACUCAGGGACAAUCUAAUGCCCGACUAAGUAUGCUUCUUAGUACAUCGGGCCAGAUAGAGACUGAGAUAGCUCCUCCUGAAAAAUCAGCUGAAACCGUAUAGCUUGUCAAUAUUUGUGUAUAAAUGUUAUUCAAUUAAUGAAAAAAUUGUUUUAUACUUACACAUUUCUGGUAUACGUUUAAAACGUCUUCUUGAGGAACUCCAGAUUGCCCACACGAGCUCCUUCCACAAAACAUGGUGCCAGGAAGAGAUGUUUCUGAACUUUCCUUCCUUCUGCAAGCGUACACUUAAGUCAUACAAUUUGGAUCAGAUAAAGAUCUAAUAUAUGAUGAACAAUUUGUUUCGCAAUUUAUAAAUACUUACCAUGGAUUGUUCUAAGCGUCCAUAUCCGACACGUCCUUUCGGUACGGAUAUGCGGGAAUUGAGCUUCUUUCCCGAUUUGUAAGCACUAUUCUUUGAAAAGUCGGGUCUUGUCCUCUUGGAUUUGAAAGCUUCCCAUUCUUAAGGCCGAUAAUCGAAACUUUCAAUAUUUUCUAGGAAGCUCCGCCUCCACAAAAAUUAACCAUCCGCAUCCUUGGAACUUGAUGAUAAAAAGUCCGAAAUCCUCUAGAAGCUUUCCGGCAUUUCAUGACAAAACCUCUUCUUUUCUUCUUCGAUGUAAAACAUCGCUAAGAAAAACAUACAGAAUUGAUAGUUAGUAUCGGUAAUUAAAAACAUAUAUUUGAUACCUCGUAUAAUUAAGGGCCAAAUGAUUGUACCUUUAUCUCACUCCAACAAUUUUUUCUUUGGAACUCUUUCACACUCUUUAUUUCUCGCAAUCAUCAACAUGGUAAUGGGAAUUUCAUUCCUUACUAGUGCACCGAUGAAACCUAGUUAAGGUAUGCCCAUUAGGUUCUAUAAGUUGUUCCCUGGUUGUUCAAGAGACAUCUAGUAUGAUGGGCCUCGAAUCUUUCCUUGACCACCCUUCGCAUUACUGUGAGCCUCUUCCGGAUUUCUUUCUUCGCCGGAUACUUUAGCUAACUUCCUCAUGUUGGUCAUCAGCAUGUCUAACCUGUAAUAACCAAGGAAAACCAUCAAAUAUCAAAUAAUAACUUAUAAUCAAAAACAAUUGAAACAAAAAAAUAAAGAAAUCAUGCAUUAUCAGAUAUAACUUAUAAUCAAAGCAUUUUUGAAUACAAAAAUAUAAAGGGGGGGGGGGGGGGGGGGGGGGGGGGGGGGGGUGAAAUCAUGCAUUUACCACAAUAUAACUUAUAAUCAAAAACAAAUGGAAACAAAAAAUAAAGAAACCAUGGAUACUUACCUAAGUCACUAACAUCUCUCUUUCUUUUUUGUUGGAAUAUUAAUCACUUGUUUCUUAGCAAUGCGUAAGGAUGAAUUGAUCCAAAUUCCUAUUAUGAUCGUUUCUUAUAUAUGACUCAUCCGGUAUAUGAGAUCUCAACUUCAUCAUUUCUAUUUCAACCAUUCCGUCUAAUGCGUGAAUUCAUUCUGCAAAACAUCAUAUCACAUUGAUCGACAGCGCUAUCAAAUCAGUCAACUUUGGUUUAAGAUGAAAAGCAACUCUAGACCAUUUGUACUCUUCGGGUCAUUCACAUAGAACACUUGUAUAGCUUGAGAUGCUAAGAAAAAAGUUCAUCUUUGUACCCCACCCUAGUAAGAUCAACUUGCAAAUAAUUUUCCAAGACUUAUCAUUCGUAAUCCACUACUAUUCACCGCACUUGGCAACCAAAAGAUGGGAAUCUGAAACGCUUCUCGUAAUCAGAACACCCAAAUGUGCUCAAUAACUCAAAAUAUGACAAAUUUGCAAUAUUUUGGGGUUUAAGUCCUUCAUACUGAUAUAUGCAUUGCUUCAGCUAGCACGGUGGAACACCACUAUUUUGCAUAGUACUCUAUAUCAUCUUGUUCUUUGGGUAUAAAAUGUGUAUCCUUAAUUGAAUAUCGCUAUGAGAAAAACACAUGCAAAACUUGGACCAUAUGCCAAACAUCUGCAACCUUUCCCGUACCGAAGAAAGGCAUCUGAAGAGCGCUUCAAAAUAAAAGAUCCUUCAACAUUGUAUGAAACCUUGAAUUGUGCUCUAUAAUAAUCCCAAUUUUCCUUUUCUGUUCGGAUUAACCUUCGGAGUACAUCCUUGUGCAUUUUCAACAUAUGGCUGCAACCUCAUUAAUAUUGUGGCAGAAAAUACAAAAUGAACUUGCUCCAUUCAUGCCCUGAUAUUUGUCACAUUUUAUUCCCAAUUAAUAUUUUUUAACCUUCCAUUUUGGUCGAAAAAUCUGAGCUCUGGGGAGUCCAAUCGAUUGAACGUUAGACAAAUUUCAGUACAAAACUCAACAGCUUUCUUUCAAAACAAUGUUAUCGUUCAACAAUACAACCCUCUGGUCGAUCUUCGGGAUUUCACGUACCUUUUAAUAUUUUCAUAUACCGUUCACAGGGUACAUCCAUCUCAUAUAAGCUGGUCCACACAACUGUGGUCUCUUUUUUUUUUUUUUUUUUCUUUUUUCUUUCUUUCUUCUUUUUUUUUUUUUUCUUUUUUUUUUUUUUUUUUUUAUUUUUUUUUUUUUUUUUUUUUGUUUUUUUUUUUUUUUAUGUUUUGUCUCUUUUUUUUUUUCUUUUUUUCUUUUUUUUUUUUUUUUUUUUUUUUUCACAAAGGUGAACAACUAAAUGAACCAUUAUGGUAAAAAAGACGGACGGAAAUACAUUUUCAAGCUCACAAGGGUAAUUACAAUCCUUUUUGUAAGUGUUGGUAAGAUCUCGGGAUCGAUCACCUACUACAAAAUUUGACCUAAAAAAACACAAUUUAGUUAUGGCAUUCUUUACUUUUUCUGCAAAAUAGAACGUAUACCUAUCGGUAGAAAUGUUCCAUUAUAACAUGGCAAUCAUUGUCUUCAAAUUCUUCAACUUGACGGGUCUUUCAUAGAAACAAGUCUCUGAUAUCAGAUUGAGUAUCCUUCUGGAACCUUAACUCACUCAAGACUUACACAAAAAAAUAUUUUCUCCUUCUUAGAUAUAUAGUAAAAGCAGCAGGUGGUAGAUAGUUUCGUCUCUUCUUCACGGGUGCUAAUUAGUUCUCAUUCCCAUUUUUAACAUGUCCUCGCCUUGCUUUAAGGCCACCCUUAGACUUGCCUUUUUAUAUUGAGUAAUGUACCGAAAACUUUGCAAAUACGUUUUUAUUCAAUAUGCAUAACAUCCGAGAAAAUGUCUCACGUACAAAGACUUCCAAUAUGGCAAUUCCAAAAAUAUCGACCUUUUUCUUCCACCCAACCUUUCACAAUCUUAUGUGCAAAAAGGCUUGCCAAACUCGUACGCACAUCUUUCACACCUUUUCAAAAACUUGUUUCACCGACAAUGCGGGUGGAGUCUAACGAUGUUCGGUGUCUCCAUUGAAUGCUUUUCUCCACCCAGGUAGUGAUGUUUAGAAUGUAAGAAUUACGGAUGACCAGAGAAACACAUUCUUCUGGCAAAGUUCCCAAUCGAAUCGUAUCGUUUCCGUCUUCAACAAACAGGACACGCACGUUGACCUUUAUGCUAUACCGAUCCGAUUUCCCGUAUGCUGGAAAAUCAUUAAUUGUGCCAAACAACAUCGCCCUCAAAUGGAAACUUUUCUCUAAUAUCCAUCACUACACCCACACCGCUUCGCCACAAAAUCUUUAAAUCAUUACACAGAGGUGUAAGUAACGUCUAUGCAUUGCCUGGUUUAGCCCAGAGAUUAACAAGAUAACAUCAGUACUUACGCUCAUACAUAGCGACGGAGGUAGGUUAAAAUCAUAAGAAUCACAGCAUGUGGUAAUGUGAGAUCUUUGAAGACAAUGGGCAUUCCAUCAGUAGAUAAUGCCAAUCGAAGGUUCUUCUUAUGAUCCAAACUCAGGAUAACAUUAUCAAUCUCGACCACGUGGUGAAUCAGCACGGAUGCCGAUAAUUCCAUCAAAACGUCUUCAGCAUGCCAAGUAAAGAUCUUGCAUCGGUUACUACGAAACAUGCGCCUAAUCUCGAAUUAUGGAAAAACAAUAAGCCUUUGCGGGAGAUAAUCUUUCUUAUAUCGAGACAAACCGCAUUUAGGGCACUCAGUUAACAUUGCAUAUUCGUUACGAACAAAAUGCAAUCGUUAGACAAGCAUGUAUCUCAUAGCUCAUGCCAAUAGAGCACAACAUUUUUUUUGCCUCAUAGGUUCGAUUAGGAAGAACAUUAUCAUCGUAGCAUUUCUCUCAUAAGGGCCAACAACUCUGUGAAACUUUUAUCCGACCAUUCCCAUUACCGCCUUUAAGUUGUACAACUUAUAUACGCAGAAAGUCUUGAGAAUUAGUGCAACCUUGUACAACGGUUUCUCAGCAUCGCUUACACCAUCUAAACAUUUCAGGACAAUCAUGAAGAUCUUCUUCCAUGUGCUUCUACAAUCUCUUCAACUCGACUAAACUAUUCGUAUUGUUCCGUGUCUUUGUACGUAUUGAAGCAUAGGUCGUACUACUUUUUCCACUCGAUUCAACAUUCUCGUUAAUUUUCUCACCAUGAAAUAUCCAACACUGAUAACUUUGAUCAAUUCAUGCCUCAGCAAAUGCGAUUCAAUCCAUGUGCAUCAACCUUACAAAUAUAACAACAACGCAAGCAAGGACAAUGCAUUCGUCUGGGUUUUCAGCGUGUUGAACAGCAUACUUAACGAAUUCCAAACCCCACUCUCGUACUCUUUGGUCAUUCGAUCGGCACAGAUCCAUGUUUUAUCCAUGGUUUUCCUACUUAUUUAAGUAAACAAUUAAUCCAGACGAAAUACAUAAAUACUAAAGGUAGUACUUUGAACAUUCAACUGGUCAAAACUAUUAUUCCAUAGUAGUUUCAAUGAACAUUCAAUUGAUUUCAAAAUACAUUCACCAAAAUCCAUUUAACAUCCUAAAUAGUAUUCACCUGUCACCAAACUUUGUAGCUUGUUCUUUUCAGACUAGCAUGAGUUACUAAAUUGAUACACUAACUACUACUUUAACUCCUAUUAGCAUUUCAAUAACUGAUUUCAAAAUACCUAAUAAACCUUGUCCAUUCAAUAUUAACUAACUUACUAACUUUAUUUGCCAAUUCAAACAUGACUAACCAACUUUCCUAAAUAACUAACUGAAUCACAUUUCAAAUUUCAUAACAGUCCUACUAACAAAACUGUUCUAAUUAAUCUCUAAUUAAUCUCUAACAGUCUCUGACACAUAAUUAACAGUUUCAUAGCUAACUAUCGAAUCAACUCAACUAACAAUCAUAUUAUCAAAUACCAACUAACUACUUUUCACUACUUACUAACUUAACUAACAUUUCAAACUAACACUUUAAUUCCCUAAACACUAACUGAUUCAACUUCAAAACCAACAUUCAACCCUAAGGCAACAGAAAAACUUCAAAAUCUCAAAAUUUGGGUCAUUUUAUAUGACUGAGUUUUCACACAUAAUACAGAACCAACAUUGGUGAUACAGAAAAAUAUGACUGAGUUUUCAACAGAACAACAUUGGUGAUACAGAAAAAUACAGAAAAUAUAAAAUGGGGCAAGAGUUUUCACACAUAAUGUUCAUCUAUAAACAUUAUAUAAAAUCAAAUAUCACUCACAAACCAUAAACAUUCACAUAUGCAAGAAUGAAUACAAUGUAGUCGAAACCUCUACUUCAACAUGCAUGUGGUACCAAAGUUAUUUAGGGUUUGAGAAAGAGACUUACCAAGAAAUACGCGCCGCCGGUACAGUGAGAAGGAAGGGUUUGUUUCGCUGCCGGUAUAGUGAGAAGAAAUACGCGCCGCCGGUACAAAGAAAUACGCGCCGCCGGUUUGUUUCCAGAGAGAAAUACGUGAGCACGGCCGCCGAGAGUGGAAAGGUAGGGCUUUUGUGGAAAUGGCGUAAGUUUUUGGGUGACUGAAGAAGAGGGAAAACAAAAGAACAGAACACGAAAGCGCUUUGUGGUCUGAAAUUUUAUUUUAAUAAGACCUUAGAAAGCGCUUUUGUGUAAAGCGCUUUCUAAGGUAUGCUUAGACAGCGCUUUCCAAAAGCGCUUUCUAAACCCCCCUUAGACAGCGCUUUUGGUUUUAAUUUUUUUUUUUAAUUUAAAGACUUUAGACAGCGCUUUAUCAAAAGCGCUGUCUAAGGUCUAUAUUUAAAAGCGCUUCUAAAAGCGCUGUCUAAGGGGGGUCUUAGACAGCGCUUUUUAAAAGCGCUGUCUAAGACCCCCCCUUAGACAGCGCUUCUUAGUAUUUUCUUGGAACAUUUUCAGCGCUUUAUUUUAAUUUUAACCUUAGACAGCGCUUUCUGUUAAAAGCGCUGUCUAAGAUGCGCUGUUAAAAGCGUUUUUUGGCGUAGUGAAUGAUUCUUCUAAACAACCGUUUUGAUCUAUGCACCGAGUUUAUUAUAAAUUAUGUGGAAUGCUUAUUUUGCCAACACUAACUAAAAAAAUAACCUGUAAAUAUGAUCUAAACAUCAUAAUAUGACAAAUUAAGUUAUAUUAUAAGAACAAGUUACACAUUUAAUGUUAGACAAAAAUUAUUCAGCCCCUUAUCUACUUUUCACUCUUUAACCGUUAGAACUUUGUUUAAUGCUAUUAGUUCUUCAACAUCCCCUUCUUUUACCUCUAGUUCAUUUUGCACAAUAUUAUUUAUUUCGAAAAUAAAUCAGAGGUGGAGAAAAUGUCGGUUGAAGAACUGAAGAUUUCUUGUCUAGAAUUGAACGUGUAACUUGUUUUCAAAUAUAACUUUAUCUAUCAUAUUAUAAUUUUCCAAUACAAUCUGAAAAUUAAUAUAUUCAAUAAGGGGUUGGAAAAACACUCAAACCACAUAAGAUAUAAUAAACUUAUCUUUUAAAUAAACAUUAACAACAACAUUCAUCAACAACAAGCGUUUAAAAACAUACAAGAUACAACAAACAACUCUUAUUAAAAACAACAAAAUCACCAACAGGUAGCAUAAACUACAUAUAACAUACAACUUUUAUUAAUAACAAUAACAACAUAUCAACUCAUAGAAUAUUUCAAAAACUUACAUGUCCCACAAUGAUAUUCACAAUAAAACGAAGAUGAUGCUGAAGUGAGAGGUGCAAACUUGUAUUAAUUUUGAAUGGAAGUCAUUCAGGGUCUUUCAUACAAGUUUGUAGUACUCACUUUACCUUCAUCCUAGUUAAUUAUUUUCAUUCACCAUCCUUAUCUAAAAGUCAAAACAAGCAUAAAAUUCAAACAUUAUUAAACAAGCUAUUGAAACGUAAACAAUAAUACAUAAACAGAUUUUGAAACAUAAAAUAUUGUGAAGACGAACCUGUAAGGUAGCAAUUUUAAAGAUUUGAUGCAACAAAUAAAAUCUUUCGAAGAAGACGAGUUCGCUGCAUAAGUUUAAGGUUUUCAUGAGAGAGACGAGUGACAUAGAUGUUAGAGUUUUGUUUUGAGAGAGACGAGUGAAAGAGUUGUUAGGAUUUUAUUUUGAGAGAGACGAUUGCUAUGUACUUAAGUGAGAGAAAAUUUUGCUUAUACAUAAAUAUGUAACAUAUUUCACCAUGGUUGAUAUUAUGAAUCGCGAUGAAAUGAUUGCACCUUACACCACGGUUGAUGAGGACAUCAUUAUCAGGGAUUCUAGUGAAGCAAUUCAAGGACUAGGAGGAUCAAUGACAAGUGUAACACCCUAAUUCCCCGUUUGAACAUUUAAAUAAAAUAGUUUGGUUGAAACCAAGUAUUAGAGUGUGUCAAAUCAUAAACUUCAAAAACCAAUUAAUCAGGCAAAUACGCAUCGAAAACUCAACAAAGUUCAAAAAUAAAGUCUCAUUAACAACUCCAAAUAAAAUGAAAUAAAAGCAUCACGUAAUAAUGAAUGACAUCCUAUCCCCUGUGCUACAUAUAAAAAAUAUGUUUUAAAAAUUAAUAUUACUAAUAUUGAGUUAAUAAUUAUUUUGAUAAUAUCGAGUUAAUAAUAAUUAUGGUAAAAUAAUAGGGGUUGGUGGUUUAACUCCAUAUUAAUUUUUAAAAUAAUUAUUCUAUCUUAAAUAUUAUUAACUCGAUAUUAUCAAAAUAAUUAUUAAUUAAAUAUUAAUAAUAUUAAUUUUUAAAACAUUUUUUUUAUAUAUAUAAGAUAAUUUAUAGGAAAAAGUGUUUUUUACAAAAAAAAAAA
rnacentral:lncRNA from 1 species